UUUUUCAUGAAACGGGAGUAAAGUAGUAAACUUACAGGAACAACGUGGGUCUCUGCUCCCUGAUCUGUUUCCUGUGUUUGGAAAGAGUUCCAGCUUCAUCACGGAGUUUCUCUCGGUUUGUGGGCUCGUCUAAAGCUGAGUAACAGGAGAAGAGUCUGGUGGAGCAACAGAGGAACAAUUUCAGCCAUUUGGACUCAGCUCAGCCACUACAGAGGAAAAAAUGACUUCAACACAGAAGGACCAACAUGGAGCGAGAAGUCAGCGCU